GUAGAUAUAGUUUAACAAAAACAUUAGAUUGUGAUUCUAGAAACAAAGGUUAAAAUCCUUUUAUCCACC
rnacentral:tRNA from 1 species